GGGGAUAGAGUGUACCUCCCUUGAAGUGACGCCCUAACGUAGUGAAAUUACUAACUUACCCUCCAAAAUAAUAAAAAAGGUCAAGGUACCUCAAAUAGUAGAAUAUAACAAAAAGACGGCUUAAGCUAAGACCAUCAAAACAAAAGGUUAAGGCACCACUUUAAUGAUAUAAUAUAAAUAAUCCAAAUGGCAUUCAUCAAAUCAUAAAAAAUUUCCUCCAUCACAACUUAAAUGUAGUCAAUGGUACUUUAAAGAUCAAGGAGAAGGCAUGGCCUAUUCGAUUUCCAAGUGAAGCAUCUAUUAAGGACUCAAACAUAUCCCUUACCCAAACACUCGAGUCAAUCGAACAUUUAAGAACUUUAAAAGUCCAAAACAAAACAAGGGUCAAGCAAUCCAACACAUAAACAUGGAAUUGAACAAUUAGAAGCACUUAAAUGCCUAAGAUCAAAUACGGAUCAAUGAGUGGUUUCACUUGCAUUUUAGGAUCCAAAAACAACCAUCAAACAAUCAAACCAAAA
rnacentral:lncRNA from 1 species